CCCAAGCAAAACUUGAGGGGGCGGCAGGGGGGAGGGUUUGGGGACUCAGGCAGAGAGGUGCCUGGGAACAUUAAAUUAGAGCACUAUUAAAAAUGCAUGGAGCUGGAGUAUUUAAAAUUCCUCCAUGACAUAUAAUAUUAAUCCAUUUUAUGUAAAAUUCAUACCUGUAACUUAAUUUGGUCCAUUAAUGCACCAGAUCACGUAUUAGUAGACGUACCAUGUUUUAAAUAUGAUGCUGGAAAUGUCCAGAGUUCUGUACUUGGAGACAGAGCAUUAAAAUUAACCGGAUCGAGGACCCAUACGUGUUCGACAUGGGACACCAGCGGAAGAAACGCAGUGCCCGAUCUUGCGGAUGCGGCGAUCGCCCCCUCUGCUCCCAGCUCUCAGUGAGCGAAGUAGAACUGUUCACAUGGGCAAAGGACUGCAGGAAGGAGUAAAGGCUGCAGGAUCUGCCCCGAAGCUUGUAAGUCAAACCCACCAGAAGGGAAGAAAUCUAUAAUGGUGAUUAAUGAUUGCAUGUCCCCUCAAUGGUUAGUCACAACGGGUGAUAUAUAAAGGAUACAGUGGGAAGCUGUCAAGCCCGGGACUUGAAUGAGCAGUGAGACUGGAUCAUCUGAAGAGCAUAAUGAAGCACGCUUUGAUGCUCUUGCACCCUUUAAAAACAUACGUUUUGAUGCUCCGUCUUACGGAUACCCACGCUCUUAUUUUGCUUAUUUUGCCCCAUGUUACCAGUGCUACCAGUGGCUGUUGGGCUCUUGUAGACACAAAAACUAACUAUGUGCGUUUAUCUUUGUCUGCCUGAAGUCUAGAUUUAUACGCUACAUCAUGACAAUACGAUGGGAAGACAUAUUUCCAUUAGCUACAGGCUGGAUGAACCCGAUUCUGCUGCAGUCAUUGCUUUUAUUCUGUGAAACGUCACUCCUUGCAGUCUCUGAGUCUCACAAGGUGGAAAUUAUGUGGGCCCUAAAGUAUAUAUUAUGGUUACACUUUGUUUGCUUCCUAGACUCCUGAUAAUAUGGACAGAGUUGAUAUGCUUUUUUUUAAAAAAAAUGUAAAUUAUGGUAGGCAUGCAGACUAAAAUCUUGCUGAUCUGAUCUUAAUUAAAAUCUAUGUGAAACUAGA